AGUCCACAUCGACGGGGAGGUUUGGCACCUCGAUGUCGGCUCAUCACAUCCUGGGGCUGUAGUAGGUCCCAAGGGUUGGGCUGUUCGCCCAUUAAAGUGGUACGCGAGCUGGGUUCAGAACGUCGUGGGACAGUUCGGUCCCUAUCCGUCGCAGGCGUAGGAAAUUUGAGAAGACCUGUCCUUAGUACGAGAGGACCGGGAUGGACGUACCUCUGGUGUACCAGUUGUCCUGCCAAGGGCAUGGCUGGGUAGCUAUGUACGGAAUGGAUAAGCGCUGAAAGCAUCUA
rnacentral:rRNA from 1 species